ACAAGACCAAGGGGAAACGGUUCACCUACAAGUUCAACUUCAACAAACUGGUGCUGGUUAAUUACCCUUUCAUCGAUGUGGGGCUGGCCGGUGAGUGUCGGUCGGUCGGUCGAGUGGCCUGAAUGAAGGGAGUGAAGAGGUGGGUCUUGCUGUGUUCAGAGUGGAGUGGAGAUCAUGAUGCAACUCUUUCCUUUUGUCAGGGGGCGCUGUUCCCCAGAGUGCCCCUCCAGUGCCAUCGGGCGGCAGCCAUUUCCGCUUCCCUCCUUCGACGCCCUCCGAGGUGCUGUCCCCCACCGAGGAUCCCCGCUCUCCACCAGCUUGUUCUUCAUCGUCCUCUUCUCUCUUCUCCGCUGUGGUUGCUCGACGCCUGGGCCGAGGCUCUGUCAGCGACUGCAGUGAUGGCACCUCAGAGCUGGAGGAGCCUCUGGGGGAGGACCCCAGGGCACGACCACCUGGCCCUCCGGAGCUGGGUGCCUUCCGAGGGCCCCCGCUGGCCCGCCUCCCACAUGAUCCUGGUGUCUUCCGUGUCUAUCCUCGGCCUCGGGGUGGUCCUGAACCCCUAAGUCCCUUCCCUGUGUCACCUUUGGCUGGGCCUGGCUCCCUUCUACCCCCUCAACUCUCCCCAGCUCUGCCCAUGACUCCCACCCACCUGGCCUACACACCCUCACCCACGCUGAGUCCUAUGUACCCCAGUGGUGGCGGGGGCCCUAGUGGCUCAGGGGGGGGUUCCCACUUCU
rnacentral:lncRNA from 1 species